ACUCGCCUGGAUCUCUACCUCUCCAUUGUCCAUCUAAUCUUUAGAUCUGAUGUAGCUUAGUUCCUUCGUACAGACCAAGCGUUGCCCUCCUCAAAUUUCUGUAUGGAAAGAAUUUAAAGAAGCCCAAACCAAUAACACCACAUCCAGAGAGCUUUGCCCUGAUUUUCUUCUGAUCCCAGGACCCAGUUCUGGUACCCUGUCAGCCUAAGAGCCAAUAGAAGACAUCCACCUCCCGCUUCUCUGUUAUCAUCUGCUUCAGGCAUAUUCAGAGGAUGACAAAACGCCUUUCUAUCACUGGCAAGACUCCCUGAUGCGUCCCAGUCUUGCCUGAUGGACGGGUGUACCUCCUAACUAGUAACUUCUUCCUGACUCACUGCACCAAGAUGCCCACUGCCCAUGCUGCUCAUCGCCACCCAAGGCAGGAAGCCAUAGAGGCACCUCAGCCCGGGACUGACUCAGCACCACGACCAUCAGCACUUCUCCCAGAAGAGCAGUUCCAGCGGCUCUCCUUCCUGGACCUCCCCAGCAGCUCUCUGUGCUGUCUGGGGAAUGAAGUAAUAAACCUUCCCUGCCAGUACUUAUAAAAUGUUCUGGCUUUAUGGGACAGCAUCUCCUGCUGCUUUGGGCACAAGUCCAGUUUAAUCAAAGAAUCUGGAAGGACAGCAAAAAGACAAUUUGAUAACCAUCACACUAAGAACAGUGGAAAAGAAAAAUUAGGUUUGUGGUGAAAAAAGAUCAUACUAAGGGAAGUCAGACAGAAAAAGACAAAUAUCAUAUGAUAUCACUUAUAUGUGGAAUGUAAUAAAAAAUGAUACAAAUGAACUUAUUUACAAAACAGGCUCACAGACCUAGAAAACAAACUUAUGGUUACCAAAGGGGAAAGGUGAGGCGAAGUGAUAAAUCGGGAUACUGGGAUUAACAUAUACACAGUACUAUAUAUAAAAUAGCUAAUCAACAAGGACCUAUACUGUAUAGCACAGAGAACUCGACUCAAUACUCUGUAAUGACCCAUAUGGGAAAAGAUUCUGAAAAAGAAUGGAUAUGUGUAUAUGUAUAACUGAUUCACUUUGCUGUACACCUGAAACUAACACGACAUUGCACUUAGUUCGAUAAAUUAUCAACUAUAGUUCAAUAAAAAUUUUUUUUAAAAAAGAAAAUUCAAAAAAAAAGAAAAAAGCUCAUCUUCGGAGCAAAUGCACAAAAUAGGACUACUAGCCCGGAUCUGUCUAGAUGAGGUUAUAAACGUGAAAUUCUUGAGUUACUCAUAAAAGAAAGCUUUAAGCAUAUUAGAAGACACUCCCCUCCACACCAACACCCACAGAAGGAUUUGCCAUCCCUCCCCCAGUGCUAUGAAAUACGUGACCAUCACUGCAAAGUCAUAUCUUACCUUGGAUCAUCUAUCCCCCUCAUCGGGAUUCUGACUUUUAGGGAAGUGCCUUUUAUGAGUUGUGUAUGCUCGGUGGUUCUAUGUGUGCUUCAUUUUUUACCAGCUGUGACAAGAUUUUUUAAUCUUUAUGCAAGAGAAACCAAACCUGUGUAGGAACAACCUGUCAGGAAUACUUACAGCCUGGCAGUUAACAGUUAACACUUCUCUCUCUCUCUCUCUCUCUUUCUCUCUCUCUCUCUCUCUCUCUUGCGCGUGUGUGCGCGUGCGCGCACGCGCAUGCGAUUUAAUCAGCAAGGUGCUGCUGACGAUGUGUAAUAGAACAUUGUAAAAGCUACAUGGUUUAACACCUCUGAGGGUGCCAAACGAGACUCCAUAAAGGGUACGGCAGUGAAAUGAAAAACGAUGAUUAUUUAGCAUUUAUUCAUCCUAAGCAGUAUGCUAGGCUCUAAAGAACACAGCACUGAGCGAAGUGGAUUGCCUCUAAAGUUCCAUGCUUUCCUAAAACAAACAUGGAAGGGACUUUUACAACACUAUCCCUAUAUAAGAAUAUGAAAUAGAAAUACCUUGACUCCAUGGACAAAGGCAGAAAAGUACCAAAAUAAAAGCCAUAAGGACUUUUGGGACGUGUGUCCUUCGUCUAUAAUCUGCUUCCGUUUACAGCACAAUCUUGGGCAGCUGGACCAGGGUCGGCCGGCUACAGCCUGUCGGGGUCCCACCUGUUUCUGUAAAUAGAGUUUCGCUGGAACGCAGCCAUACCCAUUUGUUUACAUAUUGUCUGUGGUUGCUUUUGCACAACAGAGAUGAGUACUUGUGACAGAGACCAUAUGGCCAGCAGAGCCAGAAAUAUUUACUAUCUGGUCCUUUCCAGAAAAGGUUUCCUGACCCCUGAUCUAGACUGUACUGGAGAAAACCUGAACCAGAUUUGUGAUAGUAUCAAUAGGUUUACUUACUAAUGUACUUAUUCAUAGUUACUUAUGCAAGGUAAAAUUCAAUUUAAGUUAUCGGUUUGUUAAGCGUGGAGAAAAUGUCUAUUAUUUUGCAUUGAAGAGGAAUAUACGUACCACGGUGAAGGCUAACACAUCAUCCCUUGGGAGCAAAGGCACUCUGCCCUGAUGGAACUAUGGGAGAUUCCCACAGGGAAAGCUAGUUUCCCUCACUAUGUGUUUUGAAAAGGCCAAAGAUCCAGAUGUUGAAUGGAGUUGAAGUUGAAUGGAUAAUUAAUAAAAAGAAGAUUAUACAAGAGCUCAUUCUAUGUAGGAUAAUAGUUCAUGGUUUAAUUUCCAGAACCGUUCUAGAUAAGAUUUGAAAACUAUUUGCAGCAUUAAGGUAUUUAUUCGUUUUAUUUCAAAGCCUAUGAGCUCUUGAAAAAAAUCACUUGCGAUCCUCUUCCUAAUUCUGUGGUUAUAGGGCAUUGAACCACACACUCAACAGUGUGAUAAAAUCAAAUGUCAUUUGUUUAUUCAGAGACCACAAAUGGCUUUCUUGAUAUGAAAGUAAACAUUGCUUGAAAAGUU